rnacentral:rRNA from 1 species
GUAGGUGGCAAGCGUUGUCCGGAAUUAUUGGGCGUAAAGCGCGCGCAGGCGGUUCGUUUAAGUCUGAUGUGAAAGCCCACGGGCUCAACCGUGGAGGGUCAUUGGAAACUGGAGAACUUGAGUACAGAAGAGGAAAGCGGAAUUCCACGUGUAGCGGUGAAAUGCGUAGAGAUGUGGAGGAACACCAGUGGCGAAGGCGGCUUUCUGGUCUGUAACUGACGCUGAGGCGCGAAAGCGUGGGGAGCAAACAGGAUUAGAUACCCUGGUAGUCCACGCCGUAAACGAUGAGUGCUAAGUGUUAGGGGGUUUCCGCCCCUUAGUGCUGCAGCUAACGCAUUAAGCACUCCGCCUGGGGAGUACGACCGCAAGGUUG